UCUAUCCUGACCAGUAUCUUUUUUCUAUCAGAUACAGAAAUGGAGGCUUGGGGUCAGGAGGAAUACAUAGAAAAAGUAGAAGGCUUAUCUACAUUAGCAAAUUAAACAACAUAUGAACGAUCCCAUCUCAGACUUGCCUUCCCCGUGUCCACAUUUUUAACUCCACUGUCUUGUCUAAAGUACAAAUAAAUAGCUGUGAUAGUGUAUAAGGGUUGUGUGCUCCAGUAGGCUCUUAUCCAUAGAACCCGCUGGCUGAUGUUCUCAGGUGCUGGGGUCUAUGCAGAGAUUUGGGUUACAAGAAAAAUGGAGAGAGUUUCAUGACCAAACAGCUGAGUUUAACUAAGACAGAAGAAUGGAUUAUAUUCUCUUUCAGCAUCUCUACCAGCAGUUUUGUGUCAGGAUAGGCAAAUUGCUCAAAGUAAAAGCCCACUAAUCCUGUAUUUCUUGUUGUCUUGAGGUCUCACAGAAAAUCCUGGGAUCUGAUUUUCAUCAGAAUUGCAAGUGGCAUCAUCAGGAGUUGUGCCUGACUAUGCAAAAUGCUGUUUAAGAUUUUUGGAGCCCUUAGGGAAGUACUGUACCUAUUGAACGGUGUUCAGGGAAUUGAGAGUGUUCAAGAUCAUUUGCAAUAAAUCAGUGGGAUCUGAAGGACUGAGCCUCAGGUUGGAACUCUGCACAGCCCUGAAUUCUGGACCUGCCACUACCACCCUCUCUAGGGCAUGCCGGCACUCAGAUUUAUAGUGAUCUUCCAGUCUAUCAGGUUAGUGAGACUUUAAUCAAGAAAAAAAAA